ensembl:lncRNA
AGCGAGAGCGAGAGAGGUCACACUGGUACGUCUCAUUAUACUGUUAGAGGAGAGAGAGAGAGGUUCACACCACCGUGGUACAGGUCUAUUAUAACUGUUAGAGAGAGAGAGGUCACACCGUGGUACAGGUCUAUUAUAACUGUUAGAGAGAGAGAGAGGUCACACCGUGGUACAGGUCUCUUAUAACUGUUAGAGAGAGAAGAGAGCUUUCACCGUGGUACAGGUCUAUUAUAAAUGUUUAGAGAGAGAGGUCACACCGUGGUACCAGGUCUAUUAUAACUGUUAGAGAGAGAGAGAGAGAGAGAGGUCACACCGUGGUACAGGUCUAUUAUAACGUUAGAGAAGAGAGAGGUCACACCGGUUGGUCAGGUCUAUUAUAAACUGUUAGAGAGAGAGAGAGGUCACACCGUGGUACGCGUCAUUAUACUGUUAGAGCGAGAGAGAGGUCACACCGUGGUACAGGUCUAUUAUAACUGUUGCGAGAGAGAUGAGAGAGGUCACACCUUGUGGUACAGGUCUAUUAUAACUGUUAGAGCAGAGAGGGUCAGCACCGUGGUACAGUGUCUAUUUAAACUGUUAGAGAGGGAGAGAGGUCACCCGGGUAGGUCUAUUAUAACUGUUAGAGAGAGAGGAGUCCCACCGUGGUACAGGUCUAUUAUAAACUGUAGAGAGAGAGGGGGUAACUGUGUACAGUUAUAAUGUUAGAGAGAGAGAGGUCACCCGUGGUACAGGUUUCUAUUAUAACCUGGUUAGAGCGAGAGAGAGAGGUCACACCGUGGUACAGGUCUAUUUAACUGUUAGUAGAGAGAGAGAGAGUCCACCGUGGUACAGGUCUAUUAUACUGUUAGAGAGAGA